UGGGGAAUAUUGGACAAUGGGCGCAAGCCUGAUCCAGCAAUGCCGCGUGUGUGAAGAAGGCCUUCGGGUUGUAAAGCACUUUUAUCAGGAACGAAAUACCACGGGUUAAUAAUCUAUGGGGCUGACGGUACCUGAGGAAUAAGCACCGGCUAACUUCGUGCCAGCAGCCGCGGUAAUACGAAGGGUGCAAGCGUUAAUCGGAAUUACUGGGCGUAAAGGGUGCGUAGGCGGUUAUUUAAGUCUGCCGUGAAAUCCCCGGGCUCAACCUGGGAAUGGCGGUGGAUACUGGAUAGCUAGAGUGUGUCAGAGGAUGGUGGAAUUCCCGGUGUAGCGGUGAAAUGCGUAGAGAUCGGGAGGAACAUCAGUGGCGAAGGCGGCCAUCUGGGACAACACUGACGCUGAAGCACGAAAGCGUGGGGAGCAAACAG
rnacentral:rRNA from 1 species